UGUCUUCUCUUUACUUUGAGAAGCCAUGGGGCACAGAGCAAUAUUUCUUAAAGUAAGGGCCCUACACCACCUGGGGUACUCAUUAAACAUGCAGACUUGUGGACCAACUGAAUUAGCAUCUCCUGUUAUCCCCUUAGUCCUGAUACCCACAUUCAAGAAUCACUGGUGUAAAAAGCAACUGCUUAGACUCUAGAAUGAGAUAGAGUUUAGCUGAAUACCAGCUCUUUGAUCUAGAAUGUUCCUCACUCCUCCAGACUCACUUUGCUUAUCUGUGAAAUAGAAUUAUUAUUCAAACCUUCUUUAAAGGAUUGCUCUGAGACUCAAACGAGAUCACAGAAGUAAAGCACUUGGCAUGUUUCCUGGCACAAAUUCCCAGCUGAUGCCGAUAGCCCAGGGGCCAUGCUUAGAGAACUACUGGACUACUGGGAAGGAAUCAAUGCAGACAGAUUUUUGAGAGAGAAAUGAUGGAACCAUUUCCUUUCUGCUCUUGACAGUGGUAUGAAGAGCUCCAUUUCGGAUCCAGGAGAGUUGCCCAAGCUUUGGUUACUGCAUUUGUCAGCCCUGGAAGUACAAUCCUUUAGACUAUGGAGGAGCUUAAAAAAUUCAGAUAAUUCCCAUCCUUCACCAAUAAAUCUGAAUUCCUGAGGGGGGCUCCUUUCCUUGGAAUGUUAAAGCUCCCCAGGUGACUCUCCUUGAGGAGUCGCAGUUGAGAAGGGUCCACGGCGGGGGAAUUAAAUGGGGAUCCUGCAUUCCACGUGGGAAGAUCUUGAAUGGGAUGAGUUUAAGAAUCACCUUCCAGGGAAUGGGGCUCCAGAACAAUCACUCCAGCGGUUAUAGACAGACACUCUGGCUGAGAACCACCCUCAGAGGCCAUCCCUCAUUCAAGUACAAAAGCCACCUUCAGAAAACCAAAGCCAUGUCCCCGCCUAUAGCACUUACUCUCUCUCCACCGGCUCCUGUCAACUAUUUUCCCUUUUGGCUGAAAUUUCUAUUUUUUGCUGGAAGUUGAAGAGGGACUAAAGUUGCUGUAGGCAGCCAAGGGACACUGGCAGAGGGGACAAAAAUGAAUGCGGCAGGGAGCGGCAGAGGGACUGAGAGUGUGAGCGUGGGAGAGAGGGGAGAAAAUAUGAGACUUCCCAGACAGGCCAACAGUCGCCUGAUGGGGGCAGCCGAGAGCCUAGUUGGAAGCUGUGAGAGAACCCGGCCAACAAAGUGAAGUUACGACUCCCAUCUUCCUGGUGAGGAUUUCAGCGCAGGGAGCUCAGUUUGGCGGAGACAGUCUUUGGUAUGUCCAAAUCACCCUAAUAACAAUCUACGACAUAACUGAAUUUUAAUCAUGAAAAUGUUGAAUGCAGCCACGUAAAGUCCAGAGGAAAACAAAUGGAGCCUUUCAGCCACAGGCAUCUUUUAUAUUCCUCUCUUCCCCUCGGGUUCUUUUCCCUCUUUUUUUUUUUUCUUGUCGCCGCUACAUCCCUGCGCGGCUUCCCAGGGGCGCAGCCCGCCUGAGGCAGAGCGCGGCGCGGCAGGUGCGGGCGCCCGGCGC
rnacentral:lncRNA from 1 species